CAGCCGCCGCGGUAAUACGAAGGGUGCAAGCGUUAAUCGGAAUUACUGGGCGUAAAGCGCGCGUAGGUGGUUUGGUAAGAUGGAUGUGAAAUCCCCGGGCUCAACCUGGGAACUGCAUCCAUAACUGCCUGACUAGAGUACGGUAGAGGGUGGUGGAAUUUCCUGUGUAGCGGUGAAAUGCGUAGAUAUAGGAAGGAACACCAGUGGCGAAGGCGACCACCUGGACUGAUACUGACACUGAGGUGCGAAAGCGUGGGGAGCAAACAGGAUUAGAUACCCCAGUAGUCCCUGUCUCUUAUAC
rnacentral:rRNA from 1 species